AAUAAGUUAAUUAAGAGCGUAAGGUGGAUGCCUUGGCUCUCAGAGGCGAUGAAGGACGUGAUAAGCUGCGAUAAGCUACGGGGAUUGGCACACACAAUUUGAUCCGUAGAUUUCCGAAUGGGGAAACCCACUAUAUUGAAGAUAUAGUAUCCGUUAAGGAAGCAAACCCAGGGAACUGAAACAUCUAAGUACCUGGAGGAAUAGAAAACAAUAGUGAUUCCGCUAGUAGUGGCGAGCGAACGCGGAAUAGCCCAAACCUAAGUUGUUACGGCAAUUUAGGGGUUGUAGGACCACAACAUUUAUUGCUCAAUGAAUUAGAAUCUGUUGGAAAUCAGAACCAUAGAGGGUGAUAGUCCCGUAUA
rnacentral:rRNA from 1 species